rnacentral:hammerhead_ribozyme from 1 species
AUUCAGCUGAUAAGUUCCAAAUAGAACGAAACCUCAGUCCUAAAU